CCUACGGGGUGCAGCAGUGGGGAAUAUUGGGCAAUGGGCGCAAGCCUGACCCAGCAACGCCGCGUGAAGGAAGAAGGCUUUCGGGUUGUAAACUUCUUUUGUCAGGGACGAAGCAAGUGACGGUACCUGACGAAUAAGCCACGGCUAACUACGUGCCAGCAGCCGCGGUAAUACGGAGGAUGCGAGUGUUAUCCGGAUUUAUUGGGUUUAAAGGGUGCGCAGGCGGUCUGUUAAGUCAGCGGUCAAAGCCCGGGGCUCAACCCCGGCCCGCCGUUGAAACUGGCAGUCUCGAGUUGGAGAGAAGG
rnacentral:rRNA from 1 species